rnacentral:rRNA from 1 species
CUACAUGCAGUCGAGGGGCAGCAUAAAUUACUUGUAAUUUGAUGGCGACCGGCGAACGGGUGCGUAACGCGUAUGCAACUUACCUUUUACUAGAGAAUAGCCAAGAGAAAUUUUGAUUAAUGCUCUAUGUUCUUAUUUACUCGCAUGAGUAAAUAAGCAAAGCUCCGGCGGUAAAAGAUGGGCAUGCGUCCUAUUAGCUUGUAGGUGAGGUAACGGCUCACCUAAGCUCCGAUAGGUAGGGGUCCUGAGAGGGAGAUCCCCCACACUGGUACUGAGACACGGACCAGACUUCUACGGAAGGCAGCAGUAAGGAAUAUUGGACAAUGGAGGCAACUCUGAUCCAGCUAUGCCGCGUGAAGGAAGACGGCCUUAUGGGUUGUAAACUUCUUUUAUACAGGAAGAAACCUUUCCACGUGUGGAAAGCUGACGGUACUGUAAGAAUAAGGAUCGGCUAACUCCGUGCCAGCAGCCGCGGUAAUACGGAGGAUCCAAGCGUUAUCCGGAAUUAUUGGGUUUAAAGGGUCCGCAGGCUGUUUGUUAAGUCAGAGGUGAAAGCCUACCGCUCAACGGUAGAACUGCCUUUGAUACUGGCAAACUUGAGUUAUUGUGAAGUAGUUAGAAUGUGUAGUGUAGCGGUGAAAUGCAUAGAUAUUACACAGAAUACCGAUUGCGAAAGCAGAUUACUAACAAUAUACUGACGCUGAGGGACGAAA